rnacentral:lncRNA from 1 species
CACCAGGCUGUCUGCAAAGAUAGCAGAACUCAGUAAUCUGGCAUUGGAAGGAAAUAUUCCACUUCAUCCGUUUACUUGCAGACAUAGAAAUAAUGAAAUAGUGUUUAUUGUAGGGGUGUAUACAAGAUGUUCUCUUUGUUAUGCUCACUUUUAAACCCUUUUUCUGCAGGUAUUGUUCCCUUUCAUUGUAAUGCCGUGACCCUGCUUCCCAAGGUGCCAGACAAAAAGCAUAAAAGUUGCAGUGAAUCAGGGAGACGGCUCCCAACCAGUCCCUCUCAAUUUUGGAGACACAUCAGCAGAUGGCAGUAAUGCACAGGCAUGAGACAUGAGCACGGCUAUGUGUGUGUUUCUGCACACUGAAAUGUUAUAUUCAAAAUGUGUAUACGUUCUUGCGUCGCUAUCUUCAUAGCUUUGCAGUUCAUCACCUCAUCCUUACCUACAGCAGCCUACCUGGUAACCUGUAGUAAUCUUACAUGUUGGAGCUUACUCCAUGUUCCUCAUUUAUAGCAUAUCAAUCAGUUUUUAAGAGUAGAGUUUACUUGGGUCAUUGUAGGUUUCAUAACGCUGUGCUGUUUCACUGUGUUACUGUCCCUCUGACUCUGUCAGGUGUACACAGCGCUGGUGACUGGAGAGCUAAUUCCCCAUGACUGUGACCUUCACUGAUGGGAAGCAGCAGCUGGACUAUGAGUGUCCAGUAUCUCUGACUGCUUUUUAUAGACCCAUAUCUAUCAACCACAGUGACACAUCUUCUCAAGGCCUUAUAUCGAGAUGCUGGCACGAAGAAGAAAAGUCGACCCACUUAGUGAUUGUCCUCUGGGAGACGGCUGGAAGGUUGUUGAACUGGACCUCGACAGGAAGAUGUCGGCUGCUCUGGUCAAGUGUUUCUUUACUUACAGAGGUGAAGUUUGGAGUCUUAGCUCCUUAAAGAGAUUUGUCUAAAGCGGCGCUCUUAUUGGUCGAGUUAAAGGUCUUAGGGUAAACUAAUAGAGCCCCUAUUAUUUCUACAAACAUAAGUGGUAUGGAGAGGAAGAAGGUUAUAGCUUGCUAACCUUCCAAG